AUUGAACGCUGGCGGCAUGCCUUACACAUGAAAUUCGAAGGGUAACGGGUCCUCGGGGUUGCCGACAGGUGGGGAAGGGGGGGGUAAUAUACGGGAAGGGGCCCAGUAGGGGGGGAUAAUUGCCGGAAAGGGCGGUUAAUACCCAUAAGGCCCGGAGGGGGAAAGGGGGGGACGCAAAGACUCCUGCCUUUGGGAGGGGCCGAUAUCAGAUUAGCUGGUUGGUGGGUUAAAGGCCUACCAAGGCAACGAUCUGUAGUGGGUCUGAGAGGACGACCAGCCACACUGGGACUGAGACACGGCCCAGACUCCUACGGGAGGCAGCAGUGGGGAAUUUUGGACAAUGGGCGCAAGCCUGAUCCAGCAAUGCCGCGUGCAGGAAGAAGGCCUUCGGGUUGUAAACUGCUUUUGUCAGGGAAGAAAUCUUCUGGGCUAAUACCCCGGGAGGAUGACGGUACCUGAAGAAUAAGCACCGGCUAACUACGUGCCAGCCGCCGCAGUAA
rnacentral:rRNA from 1 species